rnacentral:rRNA from 1 species
AUUGAACGCUGGCGGCAGGCCUAACACAUGCAAGUCGAGCGCGAAAGUUCUUCGGAAUGAGUAAAGCGGCGGACGGGUGAGUAAUACAUCGGAAUCUACCUUUUCGUGGGGGAUAACGUAGGGAAACUUACGCUAAUACCGCAUACGACCUACGGGUGAAAGUGGGGGACCGCAAGGCCUCACGCGAUUAGAUGAGCCGA